rnacentral:tRNA from 1 species
GGGAAUGUAGCUCAAUGGUAGAGUACCUGCCUUGCAAGUGUGAGUCCCUGGGUUGAAUCCCCAGUACCCCA